rnacentral:rRNA from 1 species
GAGUUUGAUCCUGGCUCAGGACGAACGCUGGCGGCGCGCCUAACACAUGCAAGUCGAACGGAGCUUAGAGAGCUUGCUUUUUAAGCUUAGUGGCGAACGGGUGAGUAACGCGUGAGUAACCUGCCCUAGAGUGGGGGACAACAGUUGGAAACGACUGCUAAUACCGCAUAAGCCCACGGUACCGCAUGGUACUGAGGGAAAAGGAUUUAUUCGCUUUAGGAUGGACUCGCGUCCAAUUAGCUAGUUGGUGAGGUAACGGCCCACCAAGGCGACGAUUGGUAGCCGGACUGAGAGGUUGAACGGCCACAUUGGGACUGAGACACGGCCCAGACUCCUACGGGAGGCAGCAGUGGGGGAUAUUGCACAAUGGGGGAAACCCUGAUGCAGCGACGCCGCGUGGAGGAAGAAGGUUUUCGGAUUGUAAACUUAUUUUAUCAGGGAAGAAAAAAAUGACAGUACCUGAAGAAGAAGGACCGGCUAACUACGUGCCAGCCGCCGCGGUAAUAC